ACUCCUCAGGCCCAGCUUGCUCGUUGCUCCACCCCCGCUGCACAUCAGGCCACUGGAGAUGGUGGGAAACCUGGAUCCUGGGUGGUUUUAGUUGGAAGGAGACUAAGAGACUUCUUUUAAAAGCAAAACAGCCAGGUGGGAAAGAAAGAAGAGCAUGACAGUUCUGGGGAAAUGUUUCAGUCUUUAAAGACCAGAACCCUCAGAUCUGGCUAAUGUUUUCAUAGGAGCAUUGUCAUUGUCCUGUUGACUGUUUGGACAAAUGUUUACAGUUAAUAUACUGCACAAAAGGGAAGACAUGAGAGAUUUUUCUGAAGGAUUGACUGCAGACUGAGAUAACUCCAAGGCAAGAAACAAAGGAGAAUAUAAUUUCCCUG